rnacentral:rRNA from 1 species
UAUCUCUGUAGAGUCUGCAUAUCAAUAAGCGGAGGAAAAGAAACUAACAAGGAUUCCCUUAGUAACGGCGAGUGAAGCGGGAAGAGCUCAAAUUUGAAAUCUUCAAGGUUUUACCUUGACGAAUUGUAGUUUAAAGAAGUGUUUUCUGUUGAAGUUUUGGUAAAAGUUCUUUGGAAUAGGACAUCAUAGAGGGUGAGAAUCCCGUAUUUGACCAUUAUUUUCAGCUGUGUGAUACACUUUCAAGAGUCGGAUUGUUUGGGAAUGCAGUCCAAAAUGGGUGGUAAAUUUCAUCUAAAGCUAAAUAUUGGCGAGAGACCGAUAGCGAACAAGUACCGUGAGGGAGAGAUGAAAAGAACUUUGAAAAGAGAGUUAAACAGUACGUGAAAUUGUCAAAAGGGAAGCGUUUGACACCAGUGUUGUUUUCUCGAAAAUCAAUUAAAAAGAGUUUGAUUUUGUUGUGUAUUGACCUUAACAGCUUGCAUUUCAAUUUUCUUGCUUUUUUUAAUGCACUUUUCGUUUAACAAGUCAACAUCAGUUUCUUUUGUUGUAAAAAGGUCAUUGGAAGGUGGCUUUCUUUUCGGAGAAAGUGUUUAUAGCCUUUGACUCCUGCAAUCGGAGAGACUGAGGUCUGCAGCGUAGAUCCUUCGGGGUUAGAUACAUUUGUGCUAAGUUAUAGCUUUUUAUAGACAACUUGUUGACUAUGAUUAGUCUUGUAGCUUACUCGCUUAUGCUAUUUUACCUACGCUUAGGAUGUUGAAGAUAUGCGCGACACG